rnacentral:lncRNA from 1 species
GGGAUUAUUAUGAAGACUGGUUAAGCCUGCAGUAGCACAAGUAGUCUCUUUCCUCCUCCUUCAUUAGCCAGCUGUCUGUUACCAGGCAAUCACGAAGAAGUUGAAAAUAUGUGAAGAGGUAUGUAGGCUCCAUGCCUCCCCAUUUUAAUUUUCACCUGGGGCCUUAAACUGCAGGCAGACUGACUUGAUGAUGUGUGCUUCCUGUCCGUAGGAAACUGGCUCCACCUCCAUCCAGGCAGCUGACAGCACAGCCGUGAAUGGCAGCAUCACACCCACAGACAAAAAGAUAGGAUUUUUGGGCCUUGGUCUCAUGGGAAGU